GUGUGUGGGAAGCAGUAUGUAGCCCCUUCACACACCCACCUGUAGAAAGGCUUGGAACUCUCAGAAAGUUUCCUUCUGAAGGGACCUGGGCUCCAGCCCACUGAUGACAGACUUAAGCCUCAGCCAGAGGUUGGAAGAAGAAUUUUCCAGGAAUAUAACUGUCAUGUAAAUUGAUGGAAGACCAUAUUUACUUUGUUUCCACUUGGUUAAGAGGGGUUUACAUUUUGGAAAAUUGUAUCCCUGAUGGCAACACUGCUCGUGGUCUGAGUCACCUGCGGUCUGCUGUGGUCUGGCUGUCCGGACUAGGGCAAACAGGGUGGCAUUGAACAUUACAGUCCCAUCACUGUUCAGAGGCAUGUUCAUGGAGACCAGGCGCUGGAGGAGAAAGGGAGGCAAAGCUGGUGAUUACAGCAAACAGUUCUCAAAGGACCUACAGAGCCACCAUGGCAGGAGAAUGCCAGGAGGGAGCCUUGAAACUUGUGUGUGUGUUGGGAGCAGGUGGGGGUUGAGGCAUGGGUCACUAAAAUGUAUUCAAAAUCUGUUCUGGGGAGAAUCUCAGCUCUGCCAUAAGUACUUUCACCCUACCACACAGAGUGAAGGAAGAAUGGAAAUUGUCCUUAUUAGACACUUGCCUCCACAAAAGGAUGGUAAGCCCACACAACCCCCUCCUCUGCUCAAAUGUCUGCUCAGGCAUAUGGGUGUGCUUUCUACUGGCAACGAAGAACAGCUGCAUGCCAGGCAUUUGCCAGGAGCCCACCUGCCAGCAGCAUUCAUCCAAAGCCUUGACAAGAGAGACAGUAAUGGCAGGUUUGCAUGCAGGAGGUGUAGUGUAUCUUCUUUUCUGUAUAUUGAAAAAUAUACCUCUGCAUCAAGCUGAAUUAAAAGCUUGUUGACUGGAUUGGA